rnacentral:lncRNA from 1 species
AGUUUGUAAAAGCAAAUCAAGUUCAGAACCAGACGACGAAGCUCAGCCUGGUAGUACAAAGUGGUGGGAAGUGGUAGGUAAACUCACCUGGCUUAGUGAGAGAGAGAAUCUGCGUCCGGGUCCCUGGUAUGGGACACUCCUCCAUCACAGGGGUCUGACUCACCAAUCCUUUACUGGGGAGCCAGUGUUCCAUGGCCUGGAGCAAUUUUGAUCUCUGGGCACUAGGGUUUCUGUUAGUGCUAAUUACCUAUUUGGCCUGGCACAGACUCCCCUCUUGGCUUCCCAGAAAGCUGCUCCCUAGUUAGGGAACCAGACCAAGAGUGUCGCUGGCUAUUGUCUCGUAGUCACAUCUGUUAGGCCUCACGGCAGUGUGAAACCCACACUGCUGAAGGGUAGGUCUUCCAGAGUUCAAGUCCUAAGUGCCAGGUGCCACCUGGACUCCUUGCUGCCAGUGCAGGCGGGGCAGCCACCUAUGGAGAGACACAGGAGAGUCUGGGUGCACUCUGAGACCAACACCGUCGUAAAACUGGUCAAGAGGCCAUUGAGUGCUGUCCAUGCCAUCAAUUUAAUGCCCACCUUCCUUAAUCAUUCUGAAUGCCCCUGUGUUUCAGUUAACCGACUCUACACACAUGCCCACAUCUGAGAUUUAGUGACAUGAUAUGCAGAAAGUAUAGAAUACAGACAGGGUGGCAUAUGACUUUUCGGCCACACGGGCACAUGCUAAUUCCCCUUGGUGGAAAUCUGCCCAAUAAAAGUUUCUAUAGCCAUCUCCCAAUACCCAUCCUGGUAUGUUUUCUUUCAAGCACUCAGUACCCACCAAAUUUGAAUGGACAUAAACCCAGGAGCUGCCACACUUGAGACUCACUAGAGAUCACAUGUCACCAAUCUCUAACUAUAAUGUUCCAACCGCUCUUGGAGCUGUUUCAUUCAUUGAUGGAGCCCCUUGCUCCCGAGUCACCUUACUCUUCCUAUCUGCCUUUCCCCCUGGGACCCAGCUAUGGAAAAUGGAACCCUAAGGGGCGACUUGGUCGAGAGCUCACUGUGACUUUCCUUGGAUUACGUUUGUAAUUCUAUAAAUAAACUGUAAAUAAAUUCAUAUAGAUGCAGGUG